UUGGUCAGGCUGGUCUUGAACUCCUGACCUCAGGUGAUCUGCCCGCCUCGGCCUCCCACAGUGCUGGGAUUACAGGCGUGAGCCACCGCGUCCGGCCAGAUUCUGUGUAUUUAUUACAGCCCUUUACUUCACUGCGCCACUGCCUGGUAUAGACAUCACAUAUCGGAGCUAAGAAACGACACUGGCAACAAGGCUGAAUCCUUGAACCGUUGUCGCCUGUUGAGAAAGGAUUCCUUUUCCAGAACAGAAGUGCAGAGGAGAGAGGGAAGAGUUCAAAGCUGACACCCAGGCGUGUGCCUGUCUGAUAAACCGGAGCUGUGCUCCUGAGCCUUGGUGGGGGUGAGGCCGACCUCCCAGCUGCAAACACAAGGACACUGAGAUGCAAGGAAAGGAGAACCCACACUGAAGAAACUCAUGUUGCAGGGGCCUCUUCUCCCUCAGUUCCCGGCUCGGUGAUGGUGGAGGGUAAGAAGACGGAUCCUCCCGCUGCAACAUCAAACCAGGCCAAACGCGUAUUUUUCUCUUCCUUCCCUUUUCUUGUUUUGUAAUUGACAGCUCCUCAGGAGUACCAGUAGUGUCCUAGAAGGAAUAAAAUAAAGUUUCCCAAGGCUUUGUGACCCGGAGCCCUUCGCAGGUGUUCACGGAACACACAGGCCGCCCGGAGGCCUUGGCCCUCCAGGCAACCACCACCAGAAGCCCCCAGAAGCGGGACAGGCAGAAGGAGCCUCCCCGAGAUCUCCCAGGGGGAGCACAGCCCUGCCAAAGUAUUGGUUUCGGACAGAAGGAGCCUCCCCGAGAUCUCCCAGGGGGAGCACAGCCCUGCCAAAGUAUUGGUUUCGGACUUCUGGCUUCCAGAGCUACGGGAAAAUAAAUAUUUGUUAUUUAAGCCACCAGGUCUGUGGCGAUUUGUUAUGACAGCCUCAGGAAACUCCUGCAACAAGGAAGUGAGUUACGCUCACGGCAGAAAGUGCUACAGCAAACCAAGGCAGAACAAAACCAGACAAAGCCUGAUACAGACUGGACUAAGUAGAAGACUGCGUGUUCGGGUGGUGAAUAUACAAAAAACAUAAAUAUAAAUUAAACCUUAGAGAAGCUUUGUCAUGUU